rnacentral:rRNA from 1 species
GACGAACGCUGGCGGCGUGCUUAACACAUGCAAGUCGAACGGAAAGGCCCUGCUCUUGUGGGGUGCUCGAGUGGCGAACGGGUGAGUAACACGUGAGUAACCUGCCCCUGACAUUGGGAUAACUCCAGGAAACUCGGGCUCAUACCGGAUAUGAGCUCUUGCUGCAUGGUGGGGGUUGGAAAGUUUCGGCGGUUGGGGAUGGACUCGCGGCUUAUCAGCUUGUUGGUGGGGUAGUGGCUUACCAAGGCUUUGACGGGUAGCCGGCCUGAGAGGGUGACCGGCCACAUUGGGACUGAGAUACGGCCCAGACUGCUACGGGAGGCAGCGGUGGAGAAUAUUGCGCAAUGGGCGGAAGCCUGAUGCAGAGGCGCCGGGUGCGGGAUGACGGCCUUCGGGUUAUAAACCGCUUUCGACUGUGACGAAGCGUGAGUGACGGUAAUGGGUAAAAAAGCACCGGCUAACUACGUG